rnacentral:rRNA from 1 species
GGGUUGUGAGGUUAAGCGACUAAGCGUACACGGUGGAUGCCCUGGCAGUCAGAGGCGAUGAAGGACGUGCUAAUCUGCGAUAAGCGUCGGUAAGGUGAUAUGAACCGUUAUAACCGGCGAUUUCCGAAUGGGGAAACCCAGUGUGUUUCGACACACUAUCAUUAACUGAAUCCAUAGGUUAAUGAGGCGAACCGGGGGAACUGAAACAUCUAAGUACCCCGAGGAAAAGAAAUCAACCGAGAUUCCCCCAGUAGCGGCGAGCGAACGGGGAGGAGCCCAGAGCCUGAAUCAGUGUGUGUGUUAGUGGAAGCGUCUGGAAAGGCGCGCGAUACAGGGUGACAGCCCCGUACACAAAAAUGCACAUGCUGUGAGCUCGAUGAGUAGGGCGGGACACGUGGUAUCCUGUCUGAAUAUGGGGGGACCAUCCUCCAAGGCUAAAUACUCCUGACUGACCGAUAGUGAACCAGUACCGUGAGGGAAAGGCGAAAAGAACCCCGGCGAGGGGAGUGAAAAAGAACCUGAAACCGUGUACGUACAAGCAGUGGGAGCACGCUUAGGCGUGUGACUGCGUACCUUUUGUAUAAUGGGUCAGCGACUUAUAUUCUGUAGCAAGGUUAACCGAAUAGGGGAGCCGAAGGGAAACCGAGUCUUAACUGGGCGUUAAGUUGCAGGGUAUAGACCCGAAACCCGGUGAUCUAGCCAUGGGCAGGUUGAAGGUUGGGUAACACUAACUGGAGGACCGAACCGACUAAUGUUGAAAAAUUAGCGGAUGACUUGUGGCUGGGGGUGAAAGGCCAAUCAAACCGGGAGAUAGCUGGUUCUCCCCGAAAGCUAUUUAGGUAGCGCCUCGUGAAUUCAUCUCCGGGGGUAGAGCACUGUUUCGGCAAGGGGGUCAUCCCGACUUACCAACCCGAUGCAAACUGCGAAUACCGGAGAAUGUUAUCACGGGAGACACACGGCGGGUGCUAACGUCCGUCGUGAAGAGGGAAACAACCCAGACCGCCAGCUAAGGUCCCAAAGUCAUGGUUAAGUGGGAAACGAUGUGGGAAGGCCCAGACAGCCAGGAUGUUGGCUUAGAAGCAGCCAUCAUUUAAAGAAAGCGUAAUAGCUCACUGGUCGAGUCGGCCUGCGCGGAAGAUGUAACGGGGCUAAACCAUGCACCGAAGCUGCGGCAGCGACGCUUAUGCGUUGUUGGGUAGGGGAGCGUUCUGUAAGCCUGCGAAGGUGUACUGUGAGGUAUGCUGGAGGUAUCAGAAGUGCGAAUGCUGACAUAAGUAACGAUAAAGCGGGUGAAAAGCCCGCUCGCCGGAAGACCAAGGGUUCCUGUCCAACGUUAAUCGGGGCAGGGUGAGUCGACCCCUAAGGCGAGGCCGAAAGGCGUAGUCGAUGGGAAACAGGUUAAUAUUCCUGUACUUGGUGUUACUGCGAAGGGGGGACGGAGAAGGCUAUGUUGGCCGGGCGACGGUUGUCCCGGUUUAAGCGUGUAGGCUGGUUUUCCAGGCAAAUCCGGAAAAUCAAGGCUGAGGCGUGAUGACGAGGCACUACGGUGCUGAAGCAACAAAUGCCCUGCUUCCAGGAAAAGCCUCUAAGCAUCAGGUAACAUCAAAUCGUACCCCAAACCGACACAGGUGGUCAGGUAGAGAAUACCAAGGCGCUUGAGAGAACUCGGGUGAAGGAACUAGGCAAAAUGGUGCCGUAACUUCGGGAGAAGGCACGCUGAUAUGUAGGUGAAGCGACUUGCUCGUGGAGCUGAAAUCAGUCGAAGAUACCAGCUGGCUGCAACUGUUUAUUAAAAACACAGCACUGUGCAAACACGAAAGUGGACGUAUACGGUGUGACGCCUGCCCGGUGC